rnacentral:rRNA from 1 species
AUACCUACGGGGGGCAGCAGUGAGGAAUAUUGGUCAAUGGCCGAGAGGCUGAACCAGCCAAGUCGCGUGAGGGAAGAAUGUCCUAUGGAUUGUAAACCUCUUUUGUCAGGGAGCAAAGUCACCCACGUGUGGGUGUUGGAGAGUACCUGAAGAAAAAGCAUCGGCUAACUCCGUGCCAGCAGCCGCGGUAAUACGGAGGAUGCGAGCGUUAUCCGGAUUUACUGGGUGUAAAGGGAGCGUAGACGGGCCAGCAAGUCUGAUGUGAAAACCCGGGGCCCAACCCCGGGAGUGCAUUGGAAACUGCG